UUUGCAUUCACCAGAAGUGCACUCCUUAAUUUAUUACAUCGUUGACUAGUAAUUUCAAGUACUGUAUUUAAGUGCGUAUGUUAGUCAAAAUGGGAACAAUAACUUUUGGAGAUCAAAAGCAUGUUCAAAUAUUCAGCAUUAUGGCCUAUUUGGUUAAGGUGUAACUUGAAUUAAUUAGUGCAUGAAUUCAAUACUACUACUACUAAUGCUAAUAACAGUAAGACUGAUAACAGUAAUUAAACAAACAAAAAAAAAAAACCAACAAAAAAAGCCACCAACAAAGUCUUUUUAAAAGUGCUUGGUAGACUGAGGGCCUGAAAGAAUUGAUUAGAGAAGAAACCUGAUUGUUUUCCUGCAUUGCUCAGGGAAAUGUGUUGGCUUUUGUCCAGGCAUUCUGGGAAAGGAACAUACCCCAUCCCUUACAGGGAAAGCUAUAUGGAAAAUGAAUUAGUCAGGUUAGAUACAGCAACACCUAAACCCUAGUAUCCUUUAAUAGCUGAAAGGUGCAGAUGAUGCAUGCUUUUUGGUGCAUUCUCAGAAUGUAAAUGAAACCUACCUAUCAAUAUGCAUCCAAAUUGCAGCAGCUGGUUUCUUUUGCAGUCAUUAGUUUGUGAGUUGUUUUUUUUUUUCUAUCCCCCUAAAAUUCACCCAAGAGACUCAACGGACUGAGUUAAGAGAGUUGUGCAGUGCCUUUUUUUAUCUUCCAUCCCUUAAAGUACUGAAAGUGCCUCCAGGAACUGAGCUGAUCAGAGACAGCGAAGGAAAGGGCAAGGCCCCGGUUGUUGUGUUAGGGAUGUUUUGUGCUGCCUCUUGGUGCAGCACAGAAGGGGGCAGAGAAAGAGAGAAGGAGCAGGAGUGAGUGAGAGGGGUGCAGAAGAGGUGGGCAGAAAUCACCAGUGCCCAUGGGAUACUUUCCUUCCCCAGUCAGUCUCCUGCUGACGGGCUCAGGAAUUGCUUCUGCCAAAUAACCGGCAGUCGUGCUUGUGCAAGACUUCAAGUUUCCCUGGACUGUGGAUAGAGACAUCACUGCCAUCAUUGUACCUGCCCUUCCUCUCCAUGAGACGGCUUUUUGACAGCCUGCCCUGUCCUGGCAGGAUGCGGAAGGAAGUAGAGAUCAGCAUGAACUGUGGCAUUGCCCAGUCAGGCAAUCAGGCUGCAGGGCCAUCAUUUUCUUUCCCUUAGAUUCCUUAGCAGGUAUGUGGGAGAGGCAUUCCAGUGCUGUCCCACUCCUGCCUCCCCACUUCCCUUGCACCAGUCUGUCAGAUCUUAAAUCCCAUCACAGAUUCUUUGAGCUUUAUUUUUUUUCUGGACCCUAACCUUACUGUACAUUCAUCUGGUGAAGGAAGCAAAGGCACUAGGAGAAGGUAUCUUCUGCAAUAUGCCACCCUUGUCUGCUAGGCCCUGGAACUUAAUAACUUUCAUUCUGAACUACUGUAGGCACUAAGCUUUAUUUUUCAAGUGGAAAAAGUUGAGAAUCUUCAUUCUGCACUUAGCAUGUGGCCAAACUGCUGAUGAACACUUCUUCCACACUGUACAGAUCCUUUCUUCCCCACCUUUCUAAUAUAUGUGUGUAAAUGUACACGUGUGCCUGCACAUGUGUGUAUCACACCUGUGCAGACACAUACACACACACAUAUAAAGUCAAGGCACUUAGAGGUAAAACCAACCCUAGCUCUGCAGUUAAUGCACAAGCCUAACUUGCCAGGUUUCCAGAAAGAUUUGACUUUAUUUCUCCUUGUGUGGCUUCUGUGAAUCUUGAUGAUGAGAAAGUAAUCAAGAACUGAGGGAACUCUUAACUCCUGCAAGAAAUGCAAAGCAUCAGCUAAAACAGGGCAUUACAUCCUCUAGGUAGGUGUAAAACUUCCUUACUGUCCUUUGCUCACUCCCCUGCCCCUUGUGUACCUCUCACCCCAUUAAAUUCUGGUGGUCUGAAUCUUCCCAGACUCCUGAAUUUUACAGAACAGGACUUCCUGUGUCUAAACGGACUUGAGUGUUGCACUCAGCUUAUAAAGCAACCAACUGACUAAACUAAACUGCAAUAAUUCAUUCAGUGCCGUGGAACCGAUGAUCAGAAAGUAGCAUCUAGGAGAUGAGACCUCACUUUGGUAACUUAAAUUCUGCCACAUCUUAAUUUAAUGAGUAGAAUGAUAAUCAUUCCUCAUAUGGAAAGGGAAAAAUGCUUCAUGAAGCAGUUCUUCUUUGUUAGGAGACUGCGAUGGAUCCUUAGGGCUCUGGAUGAUUUGGGGAGCCUGAAUGUUGCUUCAUCCAUUUAUAGCUCACUGCAAAGGAUCUCAGUACAUGUGGAGAGCAGGAAUUAACCUCAGGUAGCAUAGCCAUGCUUUUUUGGCACAUUUGACACAAAAAAAAAUAGCAGCAGGAAAAGAAAAAGGCUCUUACUCCCUUUACAGAGGAGUGCUGAAAUGCCUUUGUGGGCCUGAAGGUGCACUUAACAAACUGCCUGUUCUUAAGACUAAACAUCCUUGCCCUUGCCCUUUUUUCUCCCUCUUUUGGCACAUGUUUCUUUCAGCCACACGUGAGCUCUGUGUGGCUGUCAAUGUGAAUAGGAGAUGACUGGAAAUGAGCUGAUGGCCAGUGUAAUGCAUCUGUGAAAGUCAACAGACCUUCAUUCAUGUGGUAGCGACCUCUCAGAAGCAGUGUCCGUGUUAUGCUGGACAAAGAAACUAGCAGAUACGGUGGUGUUAGCUGGGUUGUAGUUUGAUGAGGCAAGGUAGGUAUUCCAGCUACUCAAGUCUCCUUUACCAGCCACUGCUCUGUGCUUCUUAGUGGCUCCCACAGAGCUUUUUCUUCAUCCACUUUGUGAAGAAGAUGCAGAAACUUAUCUGAAUGUGCAAGGCAGAAGUGCAUUGCACUGCAGAGAUCUGAAUGUGCAAGGCAGCAGUGCAUUGCACUGCAGAGGCAGGAACGAAGUGAGGAGGCAGUGGGCAGGAAUCCCAAAGGCUGGUAUCACUGCCAGAAUUCCCCAUCUGGUCCUACCAUAGCACAGAGCACUAGGGAACGGGCAAAGGAGCAAGAAGGAGAGUGAAAAUGAAAAGCUCUGUACACCUUUCCUUCACAGGACUGAGAGGUUGCUGCCAGAUCACCAAGAGCUGCAAUCCUCUGUGUGACAGCUCCAACAGUGGUCUGGAUUUAGUCUCUGUAUCUUUUUCAUGAGGAAAUUAGUGUGCUUCAGUAAGCCAGGGUGUGAGUUCACAGCCUCCUAGCAAACCCGUGCAGAUUCACUGCGUGGAGUCUCUUAAGCCUUAUCUCCACCGGGGACUUGAGGAAAGCUAAUCCGAAUUAAUGAAAGGUGUGCAUUUAAAGCAGAUUUGUUAAACUGCUUUAAAGCCCAGCAUGGACAUUCUGUUGCAGCAUAAAAGCAACCUUAAUCUGAUUUGGAGUCAUUCUUUUUUUUUCUUUCUUGAAAGGAAAGUAAAUCUGAAUUGAAUUAAGGCUGCUUUAAUUCUGAACACAAUGGGGCUUAAUGCAGUUUACCUCAUCUGCCUCACAAGUUCAUUCAGACAGAAAAGCCUUUAGUAAUCAUUAAAUGUAAUGGAACUGACACUGCUUUGCAGGGGGGGAUGGCUGGGCAGAGUGUGGCCACGUGCUGCAAAACUCUGUGCGAGCAUACACAAAAAGUGAGGGAGUGCUGGAAAUUCACACACUGGCUUACUGAGGGCUAACUGCUGUUCCUGGUAACAGCCCUAGUGAUUUCCUUCCUUUCUUCCUGGUUUGCACAUUUGUAGACAUGAGGAGAAUCAGUCCUGCUGCCUUCUGGGAAGCUGACAAUGAGCAUGGCCCAAGGAAAUUAAUUUCCACUUGCAAAGUCUCUGUGCAGGUGUUUGGCCUGUUCAUCAAGUGGACAGGCACUUGAAAGAGAGUAUGGAGCACUAGAGACAGGGCAAAAAUCAGCUGCAGAAGCCCUCUUGCUUGCAGCACUGGUUUUGUCCAAGUAGAGACUGCAGGGCUCAGACCCUCCUUAGCAAAUCAGCUGUGCCAUUCCUCAGAGGCUGCAUUGGCCCGAGCCAACAAUCGGAGCAGUGGCAACUUUCAUUGCCAAAUUCUUAAUCCUUUUGAGGAAAAAAAAGUCUUUGCUAAGGGAAAAAAAAGUGUUUUUCACUAGACAGGACUGCAGAAAGUUUGUUUCCGUUAUAAGAGAGCUGAAGCCCAAGUGUGACAUGAAAAAAAAACCUUGCUUGUUUUUAGAUCCUAAGGAAGUGAGAGCAAGUUCCACUUUUCCACAGCUGACACUUGGACAGGGCAGUUUCUUACAUGCACAUGGAUAAAGCUAAACAAAAUAAAUGCCAGGACCAGAAACAGCUGAAAUUUUACUAGGAAAAAUGUGGAGAGUUAGACUCUAGAAUAAGAUCUUCUGCAUACCUAUGGAAAGAAUAUAUUCCUUUCCAAAUAUUACCUUGAGAACUGUUUUUAGAGAGGCUCCAUUCUGGAUUAAAUCCUUUCCCCCGCACACAUGAAGAGGAGGGAAGUACUGCAGCUUUUCCAGGAACAGUCUGAUCCUGUAGGCUUCCAGCAACCACUGACAGGCACACUCAUUUCAGACUCGCAGGAGCACAGAGCCAGCUCCAAAGUGGUGAUUUCCCUCCCUGGCUACAGAGGUGGAUUACAUUGGAAAUCUGCCCUUGCAAUUGCACAGUGAGUUUGGUCCAGACUUGCCUACCACUAGUCUGAACCAACCUCGUUUUCUGAGAUGCUUUAACCAAGGGACCUACAUUGCAGAUUUGGCUGAACUUAACUUAAGGCUGAGUUUCUUCCCCUGCCCCGUUUUCUGGCUUUACUUAAUCAGGUGUAGAGAAUUUAAUUAGUUCCCCCUCUCCCCCAAAUUCUUAUCAAGUACUCUUAAAGGUGUCAGUACUCACAUUGGUGAAAAUGAAACUUCAGGGUGUUCUACUGUUUCACUCAGUGCAGGUGAACUUGCCAGGGUGUUCUACUGUUUUAUUCAGUGCAGGUGAACUUGCCAGGGUGUUCUGCUGUUUUACUCAGUGCAGGUGAACUUGCCAGGGUGUUCUACUGUUUUACUCAGUGCAGGUGAACUUGCCAGGGUGUUCUGCUGUUUUACUCAGUGCAGGUGAACUUACCAGGGUGUUCUACUGUUUUACUCAGUGCAGGUGAACUUGCCAGGGUGUUCUACUGUUUUAUUCAGUGCAGGUGAACUUGCCAGGGUGUUCUGCUGUUUUACUCAGUGCAGGUGAACUUGCCAGGGUGUUCUGCUGUUUCGCUCAGUGCAGGUGAACUUGCCAGGGUGUUCUGCUGUUUCGCUCAGUGCAGAUGAACUUGCCAGGGUGUUCUGCUGUUUUGCUCAGUGCAGGUGAAAUUGCCAGGGUGUUCUACUGUUUUACUCAGUGCAGGUGAACUUGCCAGGGUGUUCUGCUGUUUUACUCAGUGCAGGUGAACUUGCCAGGGUGUUCUGCUGUUUUACUCAGUGCAGGUGAACUUGCCAGGGUGUUCUCCUGUUUUACUCAGUGCAGGUGAACCUGCCACCGGUGAGGUCAACCAUUUAUGCUGUCAAAGCCGAGCUUGCUUUGAUGUUCUUAAAGGAAACAAAAUGAAAGCGAGGUCUUAACUGAAAUUUGUCUCUAAGUAUCUGUUAAUAUCUAUGUCACUCUGUAUAUUUCACCUGUUCAGAAGCUCCAGCAAAUGUCAAUACGAGUUACAUAUGGAAAAAAACCCAACCCCAACCCCCCCUCAUCUUCCAUUUCUAGUUUCUCUAAUAAAAUGAAAAGGUUGCAUUCAGUUCCUUUAGGUGCAUGAGUCUUUGAUCCAUGUUAUUGUUUCAGUGACAUUUCUAAUGAUGUACUCGGGGUCAAAUGUAUAUUUUACUUUUGUACAAAAGUAAAGGAUGGUAUUUUUAAGACUCGAUUCAGCAAAACCCUACUUAUAACCUGCUAAAAUUAUUUUUUGCCCCUUCUCCUUUCCAUGUGAACCAUUGGUUUGGGGUCUUCUUUUUGUUUGUUUUUGGCUUUGUUUUUUGCACUAUGUCGGUUUGAAAUGAACAAAUAACAGCUGUCAGUAGAACUGUAUGUGGCCUCUCAGACAAUACCUCUGACUUUAAGGAUCAAAAUCUUACCCACAUGAAAUCUAUUAACUCAAUAGUCUCCAUAGAAAAGUGCACCACCAGGGCAACAAACCAUUGAAGCUGACACAGCUGUGUUUUAUUUUCUACCAUUUACAAAUGGCUUACACUUUGGGUCAAGUAUGUACUCCAUUGUCACAUUUUACUUCCAGUAGUGAAAUUGUUUGACUUAACCAUUUAUAUAUAUAUAUAAAUGUGUUGUUGUUUUUUUUUUUUUUUUUUAAACUUCUAUCAUUAUAUGAGUUCUUGAACUAUUUGAAAUGCAUAGUUUUGGUCUAUGCAAUUUUACCUGCUUCUGUACUUGUUCAUCUGUUCAUACUUGGCAUCAAUUAAAGAUAAUUUUUAAGGAUCUUAA